rnacentral:rRNA from 1 species
UUUACCUGUGUGACUGCGUACCUUUUGUAUAAUGGGUCAGCGACUUAUAUUCUGUAGCAAGGUUAACCGUAUAGGGGAGCCGUAGGGAAACCGAGUCUUAACCGGGCGUUAAGUUGCAGGGUAUAGACCCGAAACCCGGUGAUCUAGCCAUGGGCAGGUUGAAGGUUGGGUAACACUAACUGGAGGACCGAACCGACUAAUGUUGAAAAAUUAGCGGAUGACCUGUGGCUGGGGGUGAAAGGCCAAUCAAACCGGGAGAUAGCUGGUUCUCCCCGAAAGCUAUUUAGGUAGCGCCUCGUGAAUUCAUCUCCGGGGGUAGAGCACUGUUUCGGCUAGGGGGCCAUCCCGGCUUACCAACCCGAUGCAAACUGCGAAUACCGGAGAAUGUUAUCACGGGAGACACACGGCGGGUGCUAACGUCCGUCGUGAAGAGGGAAACAACCCAGACCGCCAGCUAAGGUCCCAAAGUCAUGGUUAAGUGGGAAACGAUGUGGGAAGGCCCAGACAGCCAGGAUGUUGGCUUAGAAGCAGCCAUCAUUUAAAGAAAGCGUAAUAGCUCACUGGUCGAGUCGGCCUGCGCGGAAGAUGUAACGGGGCUAAACCAU